CACCAAUUCAGGUCUGCCUUCCUCAACUUCAGCACAGGGAGCUUUCAGAAAGUCCCUGGGUAUUACCAGAUCCUGAUUUUCAAAUUUUUUUAUACUGCAAUCCAAUCCACAGUAAGAGAUCCAUGUUAUAGCUGGGCAUAGUGAUGCACACCUGUAAUCCCAGAUACUCAGAAAUCUGAGGCAGGAGGAUCAAAAGCUCCAGGCCAGCCUCAGCAAUUUAGCAAAACCCUGUUGCAAAAUAAAAAUUCUAGAAAACAGCUAUGGGGUGUAGCUCAGUGGUAGAGCACUUGCCCAGAAAGGGUUAGGCCCUGGAUUUAACUCCCAGUUCUACAACAAACAAACAAAAUGUUUUUAACUGCUUGAAAUUCAGUUUGUUUCCGUACCAGUGGGUUAAGGCCAGCAGUCUGAAAUGCACAUUCAAUACCCCUGAAUUAUGCAGACACUCUGCAGAGAAUACCUCUGCUGUCCACAGCCAUGUGUCCUGCAGGAGAAACCAGGUUGAAGGGCAAGUCCUGGUCCAAGGCCACUCCUGAGACCGUCCUUGGUGAGCGAUACAAAGUCACCAUAAGGUUGACUAUAUUGAGUCAUAGAACGGAUGAGACCAAUUAUAGUUUUAGGAUGACAAAACAAGAUGAAUUAUUGAGGACUCUCUAUGUGCCAGGCAUUGUUCUAAGCACUUUAUACCAAUUAACACAUCUAAUCCUCACAACAUCACAGUGCCAUACGUAGUAUUAUUAAUCCCUGAUGUACAGUUUGAGAAUGUAACCUCCAGAAAGCAGCUAUUAAACAUGGAGCUAGCAAUCAAAGCUGGGCAGAUUGGCUACAGGGCCCCCCAACUCCAAUACCACACCUCCCUCCUCCCUACCCCAGACAUACUUGGGCUUUCCCCGACUGGUCGCUUUGCCAUCUUUUCAAAGAAUUGCAUGCAGUGCUGAGCUAGCAGGUUCUGGGAACAGUUCCACAGAGGAUUUAGACAAGAGCCAAAGUUGUAGCAUCCACCAACCCAGAUGACCAUUCCAAC
rnacentral:lncRNA from 1 species